rnacentral:lncRNA from 1 species
CAUGUUCUAACGUCUGUCGACAGUCAAGUUGUUAGCGCCGUUGUCGGGGAUGUUUUGACAUUAAACUAAAAUUUUAUUUUCUAAAAUUUAAUAAGAUAAUUAGGAAAAUUUAGAAUUAUAGAUAUGAAUUUUAAUUUUAGUUAUUUUUAUUUUAUUUAAUUUUAAGUUACUAAUGUUAUCUUAAAUUCUUUGAUUUCAGUGCAUAACUCAAAGUGAAGCCAUCCCAAUUGAGCCAAAUCCUGAACCGGAGAGAAUUCUGAGACACACCCGUCAGCAAAUGCAAAAUUAUCAACCCAUGGUAGUUGAUUUACCUCGGGAAAAACCCUUUGUUUGAAGAACCACUCGAACCUCUAACACAACUUUGAAGAGAGCUACUGAUGGCUCAACAAGACUGCACAUUCUGCAAAUACACGUUGCCAACUUUAGAUGCAGUUUGAGGCAUUGUCGAAAGGCUAACAAUUAACGCAAAUAAUUUCAAAAUCAAGAAAGGCACAAUACAAAUGAUUCAAAAUAACUUGCAACUCCAGGACAAUAUGAUGGAAGAUUCCAAACAUCACUUAAAGCGAUUCCUUCAGCUCUGUGAUACACUUAAGUAUAACAGGGUUACCGAUAACACUAUUCAUCUUCUGUUUUUCGCUUUUCUUUUUGCAACAACGCGUACGAAUGGCUUGAUUCCCAAUAUCCUAGUUCCAUCACUACAUAGGAUGAAUUAGUGGGAAAGUUUUUGCAUAGAUUCUUUCCCAUUAGUCAAGCCAUCCAGUUGAGGCAUGACAUUGCCGACUUCAAGAAAAUCAAGGGCAAGAACCUUUGUGAAGAAUGGAAUAUUUUAAGUCGCUAUUAAAGAAGUGCCCCCACCAUGGAAUGCAAGAGUGGCUGCAACUACAAAUAUUUUAUAAUGAGUUGAAUGGUAGCUUGAGACCCAGAUUAGAUGGCACAUCCAGUAGGGCUUUAAUGAACAACACCUACAAGCAAGCCUGUCUAUUAACCGAGGACAUGGCCAUGAACUUGUAUAUGAGGCCUAACGAGCAAUUCUUAAUUGAUAUUGAAAAAGCUACAGCACUUGGAGACCACUAUUAAUUAUCCAUGAACAACACUGUUUGAAGCUAUGUGCCAUACUUUGAUAAUUAAUCGGAACAUGUUAAUUAUUUGGGCAAUAAAGGCAGAAAUCCAUAUUCAAACACUUAUAACCCCAGUUGGAAAGAGCAUCCCAAUCUAAAGUGGGGAGGCAAUCAAGGUAGCAGAAACCUGAUUCAAAACUGACCCAAUCCUCUGUAUCAACCUCCACAUAUGCAAAGAUCUCAAGAAAGAUCCAUGGGCAACAAUCAAGUUGGUUGUGGUCAAAGAUUGGAUCGAAUCAAAGGAGAAAUGCAAUUAAUGAGGUCUGACAUUCAACAAGUGAAAUUUUAAUGCGCACAAACUUGUGCUGAUGUGGCUAAAUUAAAGGAAGAAAUACACAACAUUAUAAGUGUGUUGAAUGAAAUACGAAGGCAAAUGGGCACGAGCAUUCCAAGUAAUACGAAAAAUAACCCAAGAAGAAGGAAAAUAACACAUGAAUGCCAUCGCACUCCGCCUGGGUAAGACUUUUGUAAACUUGAGUACACUUAUGCAAAAGAAGGAUUAUAAGGUUGAUAUGGUCGACGAAACCCUUAAUGAACUGAAACUUGAGGAGCAAAUGGAGAGAGUAGCCAAAUCGAUAGCUUAACCAAAAAUUUUAAAACAUAAGAAGCCUACCUUAAAGAACAUAUCAUUUCCAUCGAGGUUGGAGGACAAACAACGAAGGGAUGAAGCAUAAUUCCUAAGUGUUCUGAAUUUAUUUAAAUACCUUAACUUUAAUUUAUCAUUGCUGGAAUUAAUUGAUAAAAUAAAAAAAAUGUCAAAUACUUAAAGGAGAUAAUGUCUAGGCAUAAGAAAUUAAAGAAGGGUGAGCAAUUUGUAACCUCCAAAAUUCAGCCUAAACGUUAUGAUCGAAUCCUGAAGAUUACAUAUGCCCUUGAAAUGGCACAAAAAACAUUCUUGUUUUAAUUCUCUCUUUAAAAAUCAUUUUCCUUUUUAUUUAAGAACGUAUCUGACUUAAUUGUUUUGUUUUGAAAAAACUCAAUAAGCUUUCAAAAAUAGUCUCGUCAAAUGUCUUUAGGGUUAAUUUUGUAAUUAUUGAAUAUUUUAGAAAGACUACGUUGUAUAUUUGAACAAAAGCAACAUAUUUUAAAACAUCACAACUAAAAUUUUGACAAUAUAAUGUCCUACGCCACAAUCCAUAAAAAUAAUAAUAUAGUCCCAAAAUAAUAAUAUAAUAAAUUUUUGUGUAAUUAAAAUAAAAACCAUCUGAGUACUCCUUGUCAGUCGUGUCCAAAUCCUAACCUUGAGGAUUAUUUGGAAAGUUAGAGAACUGAUGAGUGAGCUAAAUAAGAUCAGUGUGAGUCUUAUCUGAAGUAACAAAUAGUAAUUAAUUCAUACAUUUCAUAUUAUAGAAAAAAAUAUAUAUGCAGUUCCAAUUUUACAGAUAUCAAUAUACAUGAUGAUGUCGAUGCAGAGUUUAUUAAAAGUCAUUGCAGAAUUUUUAGAAAUGUUCUUACCCAACUCUACUUCACAACAUAAUAGAAACCCCCAAAAAUCAUCCAUCCAAUAACAUACCAAAAUCAUGAAAAAGCCAGCAGAUAUUGCAGACAAAUACAUAACAGACAAAUUAUGGACAAGCCACUAGAAUCACAGAUAUACUGCAAAAAUAUUUGUAUUUACCACUAUAAUGUGUAGAUCAUUAAACUACCAGAAAUUUUCUCCUUUCAAUAUUGUCCCAACCCCAUGCAAUGUGAUAUGGCAUACGAAAAAAAAUUUAGCUUAAUGGGCAUGCUUAACAUACAGUCAAAUUUUAUUAACAUAAGCAGUAGCCAUGGGUUUUCUUUUGAUGCUUAUCAGAAUAUAAUUAACAAUAUUCAUGAUUCAUCAUGAUAUCCAAUUUACUUAAUCAAAAACAUGCCAUUUAAUCACAUAACAUGAGUGUCAGAACAAACAUAUAAUUUUAUCCAUCAAUAUAACACAGAAACAUAUUUAUGACAUCACAGAUUAAAUAGAUCAGAGUUACUUACUUGAGAAUCAUCCUAUUAAAGGAUUUAUCAACCAUCAUGAAUACUUAGUGUAUUCGAAUAUAGCCACAGUUCAGAGUAGUUAAUACAUAUUAAUCAUAACAAGAAAAUACUUAACAAAUAAUCAUACAAUUUAAUUUUAUUAAACCCACACCUUGAGUAACAUAUUCGUCGACACCGAUUCAAACUCCAACACUCCAAGGAUAUAGAUCUGGGCAUUAAAUCGUGUUUAUUUCAAAGUCAAAAUCAACAAUCAUAUGUUAGAUUAGAUAUUAAGUCUCAUGUAGAUCUCAUAUUAAAAAUCAAAUGAGAAUAAAACUUACUUAGACAAUCUUCCAACUGAUCUCAAUAUUCAUAUAACAAGGAUACAGAUAUGAGCGAUUUAAAUUGAAAAUCUUCACGAGGAUGUAUUAUAAAAAUAAUGUUCGAUUUGGCCAAUAAAGAUGGAAAAGAAAAAAUUGAGAUUGGAUGAAUCAAAUAUCACUUACACUAUACCGACAAGAUAGGAAAAUCUAUGAUUCAAUGGUGGCUUGAUUAGGGAGGAAUGAUAUUGACUAAUGAAACAAAAUAAACAUGAAUAAAUAAAUAGAUUAGUUAAAGGAUGAAAAUAUUUUUUUCUAAUUGAAAAUAUAGAUGUUAAAGUCGAUAGAAUUCAUUUACGACCAAGGACAUGAAAAGAGGAGGAUAAAUGGAGAAAAAGAUGGGAGACGACAGUGGUGGUGUGGCGGUGGUGAGGUAGUGAUGCAAUAGCGGUCAGGCGAAGACAAGGAAAGGAAAAGACAGAGGAGAUGGUGAUGAGGGGGUAAUGGUUUGGUGUUGAGGUGGUGGCCGAAAAUGGUGAUUUUGUGGAAAAAAAUGGAAGAGUGGUGGCUAAAGGAGGAGAAGAGAAAAAUUCAAAGGAGAGAAUGGAUGAGAAAAGAAAACAAAAAUUAUUUUGUUUGUCUAGGUGCAUUAAACAGCGAGGGUCAAUGGGGGAGAGAAAGAUGGAAAUGAGUGACUUAAGGGCAAGAAGGAAGGUGGUGGAAUAAGGGGAGUAAAAAGGGGAAGAAGAAAAAAAGGUGGAAAGAAAUAAUGGUGGAAAGAAUCUCUCCAAAA